rnacentral:lncRNA from 1 species
CGAAGACCUACUCUGCCUUACAGAACUUGGGAAGCCGUGCUGAGACAGAAGGUGCGACAGUGGUACACCGCUGUGGGGCAGACUGAGAAUCCCGGGAACUGUGCUGAAAAACUUGGCUUAUGUCCUCAGUUUUUUAAGGUUCUUGGGGAAGUUAAUCCAUUGGAAGAAAGACCUUUUCACGAGCUACCUUUCUACCAGAAAGUAUGGCUACUUAAAGGACUUUGUGACUUUGUGUAUGAAACACAGAAAGAAGUUCAAGAUGCUGUGCUCGGGCAGCCUAUUCAUGAGUGCAGGGAAGUUAUCCUUGGUUAUGAUUAUCUGGAGAAUGCUUAUGUACAUUUUCCACAGUUUUGUGGUGCAGAUGUG